rnacentral:pre_miRNA from 1 species
AGCACAACUGCUGGAUUGUAUGGUAAGAGUAUGUUUAAUUUUGUAAGAAACUACCAAACUGUCUUCCAAAGUAGCUGUACCAUUCAUAUUUUCAUCGGCAAU